rnacentral:rRNA from 1 species
GACGAACGCUGGCGGCGUACUUAACACAUGCAAGUCGAGAGGUAAGGCCCUUUCGGGGGUACACGAGCGGCGAACGGGUGAGUAACACGUGGGUGACCUGCCCUCAGCUCUGGGGAUAAGCCUGGGAAACCGGGUCUAAUACUGGAUAUGACUCCAUGACGCAUGUUGUGGGGUGGAAAGCCUUGUGCGGCUGAGGAUGGGCCCGCGGCCUAUCAGCUUGUUGGUGGGGUGAUGGCCUACCAAGGCGACGACGGGUAGCCGGCCUGAGAGGGCGACCGGCCACACUGGGACUGAGACACGGCCCAGACUCCUACGGGAGGCAGCAGUGGGGAAUCUUGCGCAAUGGGCGAAAGCCUGAUCCAGCGAUGCCGCGUGUGUGAAGAAGGCCUGCGGGUUGUAAAGCACUUUCAGUAGGGAAGAAAAGCCGAGUGCUAAUAUCAUUCGGCCUUGACGUUACUUACAGAAGAAG